AAAGUGCGACAAGUGUCAUGACUUGCAGAUACCCGAGAGCUGACAAAUUUCUGAAUGCAAAUUGCAGCCAAGUUAACCUGGCUAUGUAUUGCAGAGAGUACUUCGCUUAUGCGCGCCAUCCAGGGGUGGUUCCAUUCCCUCUUGGGCUAUGUGCAGGCAUUCAUUUGCUUGCUGAGCAUUGUGCCACUCCAACCUCCGUGUUGGAUUACAGGCCAACUCAAAUCAAAGAUAGAAAACCAAUGAGUUUUCCCGGACAAUAUGAGAUAAUUGCGCUAAUGGCUAAACACCAUUCUCUCAAUUACUUCUCACCAUUCACCUCUGCAAUGCAGGAGAACCCGCUGAACUUAA
rnacentral:misc_RNA from 1 species